AUUUUUCGGACUAUAAGUCGCACUUUUUUACAUGUUUUGGCUGGCAGUGCAACCUAUACUCCAGAGGCGACUUAUAAAUGAAAAUAUACAGGUAGAUUGUCAAUUAAUUUAACGUAAUAAAACAAUUUUACAUGACAGAGUUGCUCUAUGUUUUAAAAUGGCCACCAGAAAGGAUUCUAU